ensembl:lncRNA
ACUAUUUUCUACAUUGUAGAAUAAUAGUGAAGACAUCAAAACUAUGAAAUAACACAUAUGGAAUCAUGUAGUAACAAAAAAAGUAAAACAAAUCUAAAUAUAUUAUAUAUUUGAUAUUCUUCAAAAUAGCCACCCUUUGCCUUGAUGACAGCUUAACACACUCUUGGCAUUCUCUCAAUCAGCUUCACAUAGAAUGCUUUUCCAACACUCUGCAGUCCAACUCAUCCCAAAACAUCUCAAUUGCGUUGAGGUCGGGUGAUUUUCGAGGCCAGGUCAUCUGAUGCAACUCCAUCACUCUCCUUGGCCAAAUAGCCCUUAAAUAGCCUGGAGAUGUGUUGGGUCAUCGUCUUGUUGAAAAACAAAUGAUAUGCCAACUAAGCGCGAACCAGAUGGGAUGGCGUUUUGCUGCAGAAUGCUGUGGAAUCCAUGCUGGUUAAGUGGGCCUUGAAUUCUAAAUAAAUCACAAACAGUGUCACAGGCAAAGCACACCCACACCAUCACACCUCCUCCUCCAUGUUUCACAGUGGGACCCACACAUGCAGAGAUCAUCUGUUCACCUACUCUGAGUCUCACAGACACAAAUAUUGGAACCAAAAAAAUGUCCACUGGUCUAACGUCCAUUGCUUGUGUUUAUUGGUGUCCUUUAGUAGAGGUUUCUUUGCAGCAAUUUGACCACGACGGCCUGAUUCACUCAAUCUCUUCUGAACAGUUGAUGUUGAGAUGCGUCUGUUACUUGAACGAUGUGAAACAUUUAUUUGGGCUGCAAUUUCUGAGGCUGGUAACUCUAAUGAACCUAUCCUCUGCAGCAGAGGUAACUCUGGGUCUUCCUUUCCUGUGGCGGUCCUCAUGAGAGCCAGUUUCAUCAUAGCGCUUGAUGGUUUUUGUAACUGCACUUGAAGAAACUUUAAUUGACUGACCUUCGUAUCUUAAAGUAAUGAUGGACUGUCAUUUCUCUUUGCUUAUUUGAGCUGUUCUUGUCAUAAUAUGGACUUGGUCUUUUACCAAAUAGGGCUAUCUUCUGUAUACCACCCUUAACAUGUCAGAACACAACUAAUUGGCUCCAACACAUUAAGAAGGAAAUAAAUUCCACAAUUGAAUUGAAAUGCAUUCCAGGUGACUACCUCAUGAAGCUGAUUGAAAGAAUGCCAAGAGUGUGCAAAGCUGUCAUCAAGGCAAAGGAUGGCUACUUUAAAGAAUCUCUAUGUUUUGAUUUUGGUACAACAUUAUUCCAUAUGUGUUGUUUCAUAGUUUUGAUGUCUUCACUAUUAUUAUAAAAUGUAGAAAAAAGUAAAAAAUAAAGAAAAACCCUGGAAUGAGUAGGUGUGUCCAAUCUUUGAAUGGUAAUGUGUAGCUAAGGACUAUUGUCGUUUUAGAAUCCGUAUCAUCACAUUUGACAUGCGGACGAAAAUUAGCUAGCUAGCUUGACUGCUAGCUAAGCCAGUCUCCAAUCAAUCCAUAUGAAUUUGUAUUUAUUAAAUUGUUUAAAUGUAAACUUUAUUUACCUAGGCAAGUCAGUUAAGAACAAAUUCUUAUUUACAAUGACGGCCUACCCUAGCCAAACCCUAAAGACGCUGAGCCAAUUGUCCAUCGCCCUAUGGGUAGAGUAGAAGUAGAAGUCCAAUGCCAGUGGCUCAGUCUGAUGCUUUGCCAUAGUCCCUAGCCAGUGGGUCAGUCUGAUGGUUUACUGUAGUAGUCCCUAGCCAGUGGGUCAGUCUGAUGGUUUGCCAUAGUCCCUAGCCAGUGGGUCAGUCUGAUGGUUUAAAGUAGAAGUCCCUAGCCAGUGGGUCAGUCUGAUGGUUUACAGUAGUAGUCCCUAGCCAGUGGGUCAGUCUGAUGGUUUGAAGUAGAAGUCCCUAGCCAGUGGGUCAGUCUGAUGGUUUACCAUAGUAGUCCCUAGCCAGUGGGUCAGUCUUAUGGUUUACUGUAGUAGUCCCUAGCCAGUGGGUCAGUCUGAUGAUUUAAAGUAGAAGUCCCUAGCCAGUGGGUCAGUCUGAUGGUUUAACGUAGAAGUCCCUAGCCAGUGGGUCAGUCUGAUGGUUUGCCAUAGUCCCUAGGCAGUGGGUCAGUCUCUUGGUUUACAGUAGUAGUCCCUAGCCAGUGGGUCAAUCUGAUGGUUUACCAUAGUCCCUAGCCAGUGGGUCAGUCUGAUGGUUUACUGCAGUAGUCCCUAGCCAGUGGGUCAGUCUGAUGGUUUACCAUAGUCCCUAGCCAGUGGGUCAGUCUGAUGGUUUGCCAUAGUCCCUAGCCAGUGGGUCAGUCUGAUGGUUUGCCAAAGUAGACCCAAGCCAGUGGGUCAGUCUGAUGGUUUACUUUAGUAGUUCCUAGCCAGUGGGUCAGUCUCUUGGUUUACAGUAGUAGUCCCUAGCCAGUGGGUCAGUCUCUUGGUUUACAGUAGAAGUUCCUAGCCAGUGGGUCAGUCUGAUGGUUUACUGUAGUAUACCUAGCCAGUGGGUCAGUCUGAUGGUUUACUGUAGUAUUCCCUAGCCAGUGGGUCAGUCUGAUGGUUUACUGUAGCAGUCCCUAGCCAGUGGGUCAGUCUGAUGGUUUACAGUAGUAGUCCCUAGCCAGUGGGUCAGUCUGAUGGUUUACCAUAGUCCCUAGCCAGUGGGUCAGUCUCUUGGUUUACUGGAGUAGUCCCUAGCCAGUGGGUCAGUCUGAUGGUUUACUGUAGAAGUCCCUAGCCAGUGGGUCAGUCUGAUGGUUUACAGUAGUAGUCCCUAGCCAGUGGGUCAGUCUGAUGGUUUACAGUAGUAGUCCCUAGCCAGUGGGUCAGUCUGAUGGUUUACAGUAGUAGUCCCUAGCCAGUGGGUCAGUCUCUUGGUUUACAGUAGUAGUCCCUAGCCGGUGGGUCAGUCUGAUGGUUUACUGCAGUAGUCCCUAGCCAGUGGGUCAGUCUGAUGGUUUAACGUAGAAGUCCCUAGCCAGUGGGUCAGUCUGAUGGUUUGCCAUAGUCCCUAGGCAGUGGGUCAGUCUGAUGGUUUACUGUAGUCGUCCCUAGCCAGUGGGUCAGUCUGAUGGUUUACCAUAGUCCCUAGCCAGUGGGUCAGUCUCUUGGUUUACUGUAGUAGUCCCUAGCCAGUGGGUAAGUCUCUUGGUUUACAGUAGUAGUCCCUAGCCAGUGGGUCAGUCUGAUGUUUACCUGUUGUAGAUCCUAGCCAGUGCGUCAGUCUGACGGGUUACCGUAGUAGUCCCUAGUCAUUGGGUCAGUCUGACGGUUUACUGUAGUAGUCCCUAGCCAGUGGUUCAGUCUGAUGGUUUACUGUAGUAGUCCCUAGCCAGUGGGUCAGUCUCUUGGUUUACUGUAGUAGUCUCUAGCCAGUGGGUCAGUCCCUUGGUUUACUGUAGUAGUCCCUAGCCAGUGGUUCAGUCUCUUGGUUUACUGUAGUAGUCCCUAGCCAGUGGGUCAGUCUCUUGGUUUACUGUAGUAGUCCCUAGCCAGUGGUUCAGUCUCUUGGUUUACUGUAGUAGUCCAUAGCCAGUGGGUCAGUCUCUUGGUUUACUGUAGUAGUCCCUAGCCAGUGGGUCAGUCUGAUGGUUUACUGUAGAAGUCCCUAGCCAGUGGGUCAGUCUGAUGGUUUACAGUAGUAGUCCCUAGCCAGUGGGUCAGUAUGAUGGUUUACAGUAGUAGUCCCUAGCCAGUGGGUCAGUCUGAUGGUUUACAGUAGUAGUCCCUAGCCAGUGGGUCAGUCUCUUGGUUUACAGUAGUAGUCCCUAGCCAGUGGGUCAGUCUGAUGGUUUACAGUAGUAGUCCCUAGCCAGUGGGUCAGUCUGAUGGUUUACCAUAGUCCCUAGCCAGUGGGUCAGUCUCUUGGUUUACUGGAGUAGUCCCUAGCCAGUGGGUCAGUCUGAUGGUUUACUGUAGAAGUCCCUAGCCAGUGGGUCAGUC